rnacentral:rRNA from 1 species
AACGAACGCUGGCGGCAUGCCUAACACAUGCAAGUCGAACGCCCACUUCGGUGGGAGUGGCGCACGGGUGCGUAACGCGUGGGAACCUGCCCUUAGGUCCGGAAUAACUCUCCGAAAGGAGUGCUAAUGCCGGAUAAUGUCUUCGGACCAAAGAUUUAUUGCCUUUGGAUGGGCCCGCGUAGGAUUAGCUUGUUGGUGGGGUAACGGCUCACCAAGGCGACGAUCCUUAGCUGGUCUUAGAGGAUGAUCAGCCACACUGGGACUGAGACACGGCCCAGACUCCUACGGGAGGCAGCAGUGGGGAAUAUUGGACAAUGGGCGAAAGCCUGAUCCAGCAAUGCCGCGUGAGUGAUGAAGGCCUUAGGGUUGUAAAGCUCUUUUACCCGGGAUGAUAAUGACAAUACCGGGAGAAUAAGCUCCGGCUAACUCCGUGCCAGCCGCCGCCGUAAAAC